rnacentral:rRNA from 1 species
AUGGUGAGAAGUAUGUUCCUAGCCAAGAGGGAUCUUCCUCUGCCACAACUUGAAUAUGAUCAAUACCUGGAAGGCAGAAUACCAUGGUUUAAGGAACAUGCAUGGCCUCAUCUUUGUGCUUAUUGGUGCUCAAAAGAGUUCAAGUUUUUAAGGAAGAGAGGGCAGGAAUCUCGCUUCAAGAGUGAAGAUAUUGCUCAAAAUCCGGGAGGUUCACUGGCAUUUGUGGAGGCUCGACAAAUUCUGAAAUAUGGGCCUGAGAAGGCUACCACCCUGAAUACGUAUGCUGCAAUGAAAUCUGGAUUAAAGAAUUGGGAUGGCAGUGGCAGCAUCAGUUCCACCCUUAGUGGGAAGGCAAAAAAACGCCACGAUGAUUACUAUGAUUUGGCUAGAGCCGCACAUCCUGAUGAUUGGGAGGACCGAGAGUUAGAUGGGCAAAUGUUAUAUGAGUCAUCAGGUGGCAUUCCUCGUGGAGCAAUUAAGAAGGCUGAUGUUAUCUCAAUAGCUAGAGAGAAGAAACUGAGGCCGUUAUCUUCAGCAUCAUUUCGGCGAACUAUUCAAGAAAACGAAGAACUGAAGCGACGAGCUAUUCAAGAAAACGAAGAACUGAAGCGACGUAAUGAGAACCUUCAAAAGAUAGUGGAUAUGCAUGGAAGACUUUUCUUGGUACUUGCAAAUCUGUGUACAUGUUUCAGAUUAAUUGUUCAAACCAGCUAUUCUAAUGUUGCAUACUUGUUCAUAGGCCCUUUUUAA